rnacentral:rRNA from 1 species
UACAGAGGUCUCAAGCGUUGUUCGGAUUCAUUGGGCGUAAAGGGUGCGUAGGCGGCGCGGUAAGUCGGGUGUGAAAUCUCGGAGCUUAACUCCGAAACUGCAUUCGAUACUGCCGUGCUUGAGGACUGGAGAGGAGACUGGAAUACUUGGUGUAGCAGUGAAAUGCGUAGAUAUCAAGUGGAACACCAGUGGCGAAGGCGAGUCUCUGGACAUUUCCUGACGCUGAGGCACGAAAGCCAGGGGAGCAAACAGG